rnacentral:rRNA from 1 species
GUGAACCUGCGGAAGGAUCAUUGUCGAUACCUGCGAGGCAGACCGCGAACACGUGCUCAACCGCGCCGCGGGCGGGGAGCGGGGGUACCCCCCUCCGCGUCCGCGGCAACCCCCCGGCGGCGCACUCGCGUCGUGCGGGGCUAACGAACCCCGGCGCGGAACGCGCCAAGGAAAACCGAAACGAGGCGCCCUCCCCCCGUGCGAGCCCCGUCCGCGGGCGCUCCGGACGGGCGGGCAGGAUGCGCAUCACGUGAGAUGUCAAAACGACUCUCGGCAACGGAUAUCUAGGCUCUCGCAUCGAUGAAGAACGUAGCAAAAUGCGAUACUUGGUGUGAAUUGCAGAAUCCCGUGAACCAUCGAGUUUUUGAACGCAAGUUGCGCCCGAAGCCUUCGGGCCGAGGGCACGCCUGCCUGGGCGUCACGCAUCGCGUCGCCCCCCUCCACCCCGUCCUAGGUAGGCGGGGCGGCCGGGGGGCGGAGACUGGCCUCCCGUGCGCUCCCGUCGCGCGGCCGGCCCAAACGCGGUCCCCCGGCGGCGCCAGUCGCGACCAGUGGUGGUUGAAAUUUACUCAGCACAUCUGACGGUCGCGUGCAUCGGCGUCGUCCGGUCGGGAGCCAUCGUCGACCCAUCWGGCGCCAUUUAACAGGGCGC